rnacentral:tRNA from 1 species
AAAUAACUUGAGCUUUAGUAGAAAAAUUUAUUAAAUGUUAGCUUUCAGAUUCAGGGAAACUUAGGUUGAUAAAAAUAUAAGCAAUCUGAGCCAAAUCUUAUAAAAAUAAGAUAGGUGCAGAGACUUAAUGGAAGCUAUUCUAACGAAUAAUAUUUUUAAUAUUUUAUUUAAUUUAUUUAAAUCUUAUUUUUUAAAUAUUAAACGAGGAUAAAGAUAGAGUCCAAUUUUACAUGUUAAUUUUAGCAACAAUUUAAAUUGUAGUAAAAAGAAAAUCCGUUGGCUUUAUUGACCGUGAGGGUUCAAGUCCCUCUACCCCC